CCCAAGAGCAUCAAUAACACAUGUAGAGAUGUGAAUGAAUGUGUUGAGAUAUCAGAUAUCUGUGGUCCAAACUCAAUCUGCAACAACACUGUUGGGAGUCACAAUUGCUGGUGCAUGAGUGGAUAUAAUGUAACAGACCCAAACCUCCCUAUAAACAGCAAUAACACAUGCAAAGAUAUAAAUGAAUGUCUAUUCAGUCCAUCUGUAUGUGGUCCAGAUUCCAACUGCACAAAUGAAAUUGGAAGUUAUAAUUGCUCAUGUCUGGAUGGAUUCACUGUAACAAACUCAAGUCUCUCCAUCAGCAUCAAUAACACAUGUAGAGACGUGAAUGAAUGUGUUGAGAUAUCAGACGUCUGUGGUCCAAACUCAAUCUGUAACAACACUGUUGGGAGUCACAAUUGCUGGUGCAUGAGUGGAUAUAAUGUAACAGACACAAACCUCCCUAUAAACAACAAUAACACAUGCAAAGAUAUAGAUGAAUGUCUGUUCAGUCCAUCUGUAUG